CCAAAACACGUGGUCUAAAAUCCUUUGGGCUCCUGUUGCUGCCAGCACUGACAAUAUGCUCUUGACCCUGGGCGGGGUGGGCGGGGGUGGGGAGGUCUGGAUACUUCCUCUAUGGAAAGAACUGGUCACAAAACCGCAGAGGUGACUCAGGCUGAGAACCCAGACUCCUCUUUCCCCUGGUGACACGCCCCUCGGUCCCUCACUGGCACUUCUCCCUCCGGCCACACGGCGGCGUCUCGCGGGAGUGCAGCCCGAUGGUACAGCUCGCUCCCCCCUCGCGCCUUGAACAGUGGGUCCUUCCACUUCUAGAAAAGCAUUGUGGGACGGCAGUGCGGCCUUUCUUCCUUUUGGUGCGAGCUUGGUGUGGUUUUCUCGCUGGGUCUUCCGGGAUGGCGCGUGGCUGUGGCCGCGUGGUCUCUCACGCCGGGGCGCCGGGCGGGGGAACGCGGCCACCCUGAGUCUGGUGGAAGAUGGAUGCCUGAAGUGUAGACUGCUGCUAGCUGAAUACCAUCUGGGAGCACAAAGUGACCUGAAGGAUGUCCUUGGUGAAGAGUUUGAAAAUUUGGUCUUCACAAGAGUUGCUUGGCUCAUUUGAAAUUGCCGGGAGUCUGAGGAUUUCUGACAUAAUUGCCUGUUGGAGUCUGUAAAUACACACUUAAGACAGUGAGGAUGUGAAUAAAUAUAUUAAUGCACUUUGACAUUUGUGUUUUAAGUGAUUAACUGCCAGAAAUAGCUGUUUCUAAAAAGUUAUAAGGGAGGAGGGCUUCUUUUUUGAUCAGUUUUUACUGCUGUCACCAUAAUUAAUAGCCUUAAAAUAGUUUGUGUUUGGCCCAAAGAGAAGUGUACUUUCUUCCAGUGACUCAAAAAUCGUUGCGAGAACUAGACUGAUUUCUAGUGACAGGUGUGCUUUACUACACCCAGUGCAUACAUUUUUUUCCCUCCAGUUAGACUGUACACUUAAUAUUGGCAUAUCUUCUGCCUUCACUUUGCAAGAAACAACAAAUAAAUAAUGUAUUCAGGUAUUCAAAAAAUUUAUUGAAAGCACUGUACUAGGAGCUAAGAACACGAUGAUGAGCACAACACAGUUCUUCCCUUUGGAAACAUAGCUGAGUGGAGGGAAUGUCAUCACACGUAAAACUUCACUAUGAGAUGAGUUCCAUGAUAGGAUUUUCUUGGGGAAACCUGAGAAAGAGUUGAGACCAAAGGUAUGUGUCAUAUUUUUCACAAGGCAAAAUUGGGGGAAUGACAUGCAGAGGCUUGGGCUAGAAAAAAGAUACCAUAAGUCUACUUACUUUUGUGACAGUUUUGGCUGCUUUCCCUCUUCAGUGCCUUGUUUCAGAAUUGAGUUGUUUACUGAGGCAUGUAAGAUGGCUAUUAUGGGAGGUGGGAGUGUUACAAAAUGAGGCUGAAGAGGUAGGUAAAGAAGCCAGACGCACCACUUCAGGCUCCCUCUGGCUUUAUUAAAGCAAGAUAAGUCCAUGGUGGAAAAUCAGAUUUGCAAAAAAAGGUAGUUGAACUAGGUUGCUUAUUGUUGUCUAGGCGAGAGACCAUCUUGCUCUAGUAAAAUUAGUGAAAUAAAAUUGUUGAUAGUUUGAUGACAGAGCCAACUAGACUUGGUAAUAGUGGAGGUGUCUGUCCAUAACUGCUAGGUGUCGAGCUUGCACACUGAUGAGCAUAAUGACUCUAGAUCCAGCUGGGGAGCAGCAUUUAAACAGCUGAAUUCUUAAAUUACUUUUGAGAAAUCCAAAUGGUCUUUUUGCAGUAGCACAUUACUCGGUAGUCUAAACUACAGAAAUAAACCUUAAGGCCAUGGGUAUAAAUGAGAUCUACCCCGGGUAGAGGAAGAGGGCCUAGGGUCUGAAGUUAGAGAAACUCCACUAAUGGCAAGGUAAAGCAUGAUAAGCUAGAAAGGGUGGUCAGUGUGUGGUAGGAGCAAAAUAGGAUUACAUUAAAGAAGCAAAAGAAUGUCCUAAAAAUUCUCCCUGGGAUUAAGUGACACAGUGAUUGAUAUUAAUCACUUAAGAUAUAGAUUAGUUGAAUUGAGGGCAAUGACUAAAGAUAACUCCUUGCAUGAAGAUUGGCUGAGAAUGAGAGGAAAAUCAUAGUUGCUAGAGGGUGGGGGGUUGUGGUUAUGAACGAUAGUUUUCUUUAGUCUUAGUUUUAAAUUUAAAACCAAGUAGCAAGGAUUUAGCUGAGAGAAUGAUUGAAUACAUUAAUAUAGGAGGAGGAGAUACAAAGAUCCUGAAAAGGCUGGGAGAGAGCAUCCAAAGCACAGGCGGAGAGAGAAAAAGGUUAGGGCUGCUGGCAGCUGUGGAGAGAACUGUCUGUGGUAAGGGGGAAGAUAUAAGACAUCCUGCGUAAGUAUUUUCCCCGUAGACUGCAAAGUCAUCUAUGGAGAGGAAAGGUCCAAACUAGUCAUUGGGGAGAGCCGGUGAGUUAGAUGGCCAAGCAGGGUGGAUGGAUCAUUUGAGGUUUGGGGUGAGGGAUCAACUGAAAUCCACAUAGACUUCUGAAAACACAAGACAAGAACACUUUAGAAAUUAACACUUAAAAACAAAGCUUUUUACAUCAUUUGUAAAUAACUGGUGGAACUUAACACCACAAAAUACAGUAUUAUAAAGAACUAUAUGAAUAAAAAUAUCUGCAGUCUGAAA